AACGCGAAGUAGAUCGCAGUGUGUUCUUGGAGAUAAUCCGAGGCUAGAACCAUUAGUCCAAAUGGUCCAAUUGCUUCUCUUGAUGCGGUGGUACGACCAAGGCAUGAGUGAAGGUGACCUCGAUGUCCAGCUAAAACAACGCACGAGAAGCUGAAAGAAAUGAAGAGAAAACAGGAGGAACACUAAAAGGUUGAGCCUAGGAACCUGAAACUUCUUUCUGCCGCUAUGUAUCUCCUGCAACGCGCCACCUUGAAGCUUGCGCCAGAUUUGUCUCGGGAGUGCCUGACACAACUUCAGAUCAACAAGAGGUUCUCACAAACAGUUUCUUCCACAUACCUGGACGCCGGCCCAGCCUUUGGCUAUGUCAGCCUCAAC